rnacentral:rRNA from 1 species
GACAGAGGGGGCAAGCGUUGCUCGGAAUUACUGGGCGUAAAGGGCGCGUAGGCGGGAUGGCAAGUCGGUCGUGAAAUCCCUCGGCUCAACCGAGGAACGUCGAUCGAUACUGCUGUUCUUGAGGAUUGCAGAGGAGACUGGAAUUCCCGGUGUAGCGGUGAAAUGUGUAGAGAUCGGGAGGAACACCUGUGGCGAAGGCGGCCAGCUGGGCCGGACCUGACGCUGAGACGCGAAGGCGUGGGGAGCGAACGGG